rnacentral:rRNA from 1 species
CAGUAGCCACGGUAAUACGAGGGGGGCAAGCGUUGUUCGGAAUUAUUGGGCGUAAAGGGUGCGUAGGCGGUUUGAUAAGUCUGAUGUGAAAUCUAUGGGCUCAACCCAUAGUCUGCAUUGGAAACUGUCGGGCUUGAGUAUGGGAGAGGUGAGUGGAAUUUCCGGUGUAGCGGUGAAAUGCGUAGAUAUCGGAAGGAACAUCUGUGGCGAAGGCGACUAUCUGGGCCAACACUGACACUGAGGCACGAAAGCGUGGGGAGCAAACAGGAUUAGAUACCCAGUAGUCCCUGUCUCUUAUACC